AAGGAAGCCUUAAAAUACAAUGGGAAUAGUAAUCAUCAAUAAAUUUUGAAUAAAAAUUUAAAAGUAGAUGUUUUGGAAUUGCUUCCGAACAGGACUGUUAGGAGUAUCAGUAGUAGACUGUAGUAUCAGAGUUCCUUGCUCUUCCUGUCCUAAACAGAGUAAUACAUGCAUUCUUAGGGUAUAAAGUGAGAGAAAGAAGUGAAAUAGGUACUUCCUUUCUUAUCAUCUCUUGCAAGCAGAAAAGCAGAACACACCUUGAAGGCCCAGCUGUGUGAGUGAGUGAUGUGAUGGGGUGAGGGAGAGUGCUAGUGGAGACACAACAAAAAAGGAGUGGGAAAUUGAGAUUUCAGGUUUUGUGUAUCUUCCACCUUCUAUAGUAACUGAAGCACAGAUGAAUUGGAGAAAAUUCUGAGUUAUAAGUGACCCACAAGGAUCAUCUAGUCCAGCUCUUGAAUGUAAAUGGCCCAUACAGGGAUUGAGCCCACAAUUUUGGUAUUUGCUAUCAAGAAGUGUCUAUUUCCAUAUAUUUGUUAUUGUAUUUGAGGCAUUACAGAGAUUUGCAUAGGAAAUAUUAUUGCUAAAUUAGAAUUUUUAAUGGUAUCAUUUGUAUACAUUCAUAUACAAGCUGAGACCUUGAUAUUUAACAGCAGCUGUGACCAAGAUAAAAUAUUUUGCAGAUUUAAUUUGGUGCUUGCAGCAAGGAGAUGUUACUGACGGAUGAGGCACUCAUAUUUACUGAGUGUGAUUCCAUCAUCCUGACACCUAGCAUGCUCUUCAUUCUCAAUGGAUUUGUUCUCCGAAAAAGUGUGUAUGUGGGAAACCUUGUUCACUUUUUUUUGAGUUACAUCAGUGUCAGAGUUCAGCAACUGGGAAAUACUGCUUGUCAAAGAUCUCCUGGAAAAUUCUAUGAAAUGCCUAUGAGUAAGUGCUAA
rnacentral:lncRNA from 13 species